CUUCAGCUGAAAACUUCUCCAAAGACACCACUGGUUAUCAACCUACUUAUGUCCUACGAAUGUUGCACUGCUGUUGAGAUCCAUCUAAAAAGAAAGGAUGAAUAGACAAAUGUGACUGAAUUGAGUUGUUCCUGUGUCUCUUUGGAGGAAGCAAGCUUUUUCAAGUUUGGGAAAAUGCUGAAGUGACUUCAGAUGGAAAAAAAACUUGACAGUACUGUAAUAUAACAAAGUAAAACAGCUACAUAGUAGAAAGAGAAAGUUCACUGUUAUUAAUCACAUCUCAGCUACCAAAAGACAAGAAAAAUCCCAAGUCUUAAUUAAGACUCACAAAUCUCAAUUAAAAUAAUGAAACUACUAUGCUCUUUCAAUACAUUAGGUAAGAAACUUGGUUGUCCUUGUAACUGAUAUAAGACACAGGGCCAUGAAUAUUGGUAGCACAUUACAGCACAAGUGUAAAAUUAGAAUCUUUGUGAAUGAAUGAGUAGAAUGAAUAUUUGUUUUAAAGUGAAAUGAUAAUGGCAAUAUAGCAUACUGGUACCUCUCAAAAAGUUAGAAUAUUGUGUAAAAGAGCAAUAUCUCUUGUCAUUCGUCUCACCAAAUAAAAUAGUAAUUUUAUAGAGAUUCAUCACACAGCAAGAUAUUUUAAGCUUUUAGGCAUUUUAGGCAUAUUUUAAGUCCUAACCCAAACUUAAGUGUCUCAUAAAAUUACAAUAUUACAUUAGACCAAUCAAAAACUGCUAUUUUAAGCACAAAUGUCAGGCUUCUGAAAAGUAUGCAAAUUUCUAUUCACUUCAUACUUGGUUGGGCUCCUCUUGCAUGAAUUAUUACAUCAAUGUGUCGUGGCAUAGAGAUUAGCCUCUGGCACUUCACCCAGAUUGCUUUCAUAGCUGCCUUCAGGUCAUCUUCCUUGUUGGCUCUGGUGUCUCAUCUUUCUCUUGACAACAGCCCAGAUAUUUUCUGUGGGGUUAAAAGUCAGGGACGUUUGCUGGCAAAUCAAGAAUAGGAACACCAUGGUCAUUGAAGCAGCUCUUGGUACCUUUGACAGUGUAGGCCAGUACCAAGUCCUGCUGGAAAAUAAAAUCAGCAUCUCCAUACAGCUUGUCAGGAGAGGUGCUCUAGAAUUUCCUGGUAGAAGGCUGUGUUGACGGUGGACUUCAGGAAAUCCAGAGGACCAACACCAGUAGAUGACACGGCACCCAAACUAUCGCUGACUUUGAAAACUGCACUGGACUUCAAGCAUCAUGGAAUCUGUGCCUCUCCACUCUUCCUCUGGACCCUGGGAUCUUGAUUUCCAAAUAAAAUGCACAAUUUACUUUAAUCUGAAAACAGGACUCUGGAGCAUUGCACAACAGUCCAGUUCCUUUUCUCCUCAGCCCAGAACUCUGUGAACAGCCAGCUUCUUCAGCAAUGACCUUCUGUGGCUUCCCCUCCUUGUGAAGGUUGUUGAUCACUGUCUUCUAGACAUCUGUCCAGUCAGCAGUCUUCCCCAUGAUUGUGUCCUACUGUCCCAGAGUGAGAGACCAUCUAGAGGCUCAGGAAACCUUUGCAGAUGCAUUAAAUGUCAAUUCAUACUGAGGACAUGAACCAAGUACUAAACAUCACUGCUUGCAGCUGCUAGGAAAGCUGAAUGCGGGCUGAAAGCCAGAGGGCCAGAGCUGGAGGGCAACUCUGCAGGUGUCUCUGCUGCGCACUUUGCAGGUGUUCGGUCGAGCCGUUUCCCUAUCACAGGGGUUGGCAACCUUUAACACUUAAAGAGCCAUUUGGACCCAAUUUCAACAAUAGAGAAAACACCAGGAAACGCAAAAUCUGUUUUGCUGUAUGCUGGAAUGUUUCCAUUGCCUGUAGGCUACCAGAGUGUCGACCUGAACUUAGCACUGUUUUGCUGAAAUAGUGCACCAAAUGCACGUUUCUACCAUUUUUAUGAUUCUGUCUUUGCCAGUCUUCUCAGAGAGACAUAUCCUUGAUU